CACGGGGGGAGCAAGCGUUGUUCGGAAUCACUGGGCGUAAAGGGCGUGUAGGCGGUCAAGUAAGUGGGAUGUGAAAUCCCUCGGCUCACCCGAGGACCUGCAUCCCAAACUGCUUGGCUUGAGUAUGGGAGAGGAUGAGGGAAUUCCUGGUGUAGCGGUGAAAUGCGUAGAUAUCGAGGAGGAACACCGGUGGCGAAGGCGCUCAUCUGGCCCAAUACUGACGCUGAGGCGCGAAAGCUAGGGGAGCAAACGGG
rnacentral:rRNA from 1 species